UUCAGGAAGGACACCUGAGGCACAUGCUCUUCACUGGCACCCAGGCUACUAUAGUAGAAUUGAGUGUCAGUUGUCCACAGAGAACAGAGAAGGCAGGAGCACCUUUGCUGAGUCAAUAAGGAUACCAUCUGCCUACGAACCAUGGAUGCCAUUCUUGAACAUUCUUCUCAGCCCUUAAAUGCAUGUAAAUUAUAUGACACUGUGUUGAAUACAUAUAA